GUGGCAAAUAUUAAGGAUACCCGUGACAGGUGAGCAUGUAACAGACAUCAGGCCUGAAGACUAUGUUGCGUUGGUCAAUGAGUAUCUGGGAGAUUGCCCUAAAGAUGUCACCCUGAUGCGUCUCAAACAUAUAUGGUUGAGGAGUCAAUUUGCCCAACUACCAAAAAAGCCGACCAAAUUACAACUCACGCAACACACACGAGCAUAUCUCCUUUAUUUACUCAGCACAACUAUAUUUUCCGACUCAUCUAAAAGAUCGACGCUUUCAAUAUACUUACAAUUGUUUUGAGAAUUUUAUGAGGCAGGGAAGUAUGCAUGGGGUGCUGCGGCGCUUGAUUUUUUAUAUUGUUCGUUGUCUAAGGUCACCGGUGGGGAAAAUAAUCAUUUUAAUGGGUCAGCAACAUUCCUACAGUGUUGAAUCUAUGAGCAUUUUCGAGCUUUAGUCAGCAUGCCUACAUUGGUCAUAAGCCUAGGAAUGCCUAAGGCUUGCAUGUGGAAGAAACAAGCAUGCCACAAAAACAUCUCAUUUGAUAACAUCUCGUUUGAUAUGGUGACUUGACAACCAUAUGAGGAGUCACAUGAAAUUGCAGAGUACUUCAUCUGUCAAUCAUACAUCAUCAGUUUCAACAUUGCAAAGUACUAUAUACGAGAUUGCAUGUUGCGACAAUUUGGGGAGUUGCAAGGUAUUCAUGUUAUGCCACCCAAGUGGGAUAGGAGAGAAAAGGUCAGUUUACACCCCACAAAUUGGAUUGUAGAAUUGGGUAGGCAGAUAAAAGAUUGGAAAACACCAAAACGUAAUGUUGUUAAGGCAGCUGUACAUAAAUCUGGUGGAGUACAACACGCUCCGGCAGCGUCACCACCCGCUUCGGCAUUGUCACAACGCGCUCCAGCAGCGUCACCACAUGCUCCGGCAAUGUGUUGUUAUACCAUGGUACUCUGGCAAUCUCACUAGGCGCUCCGACAGUCUGACUAAGCGCUCUGACAACACACUCCGGCGAUGUAGGACCGUGCUCCGGCAAUAAAGCUUCUGGAGCCACAGCGCUUCGACAAUGUAGGACCAAGCUCCGGCAAUGAAGAUUCUGGAGCCACAACGCUCCGGCGAUGUAGGACCACGCUCCGGCAAUGAAGCUUCUGGAACCACAGCGCUCCAACGAUGUAGGACCACGCUUUGGCAAUGUAGCUUCUGGAGCCGCAGCGCUCCGGUGAUUAAUGACAACACUCCGGCAAUGAAGCUCCUAGAGCCAUGGCACUCAGAUGAUGGAAGACUGCACUCCGGCGCUAAGGAUGCUCGCUCCGACAUUUAAUAUGUGUGCUCUGGCAAUAGGUUAUGACCCUGUGCGCUCUGGCAUAAGUAGAACAACGCUCUGAUAGUGGGACUACACGCUCCAGCAGUCUGCUCAGACAACGGAGUCUCUGGAGCCGCAGCGCUCCGGUAAUAUACCACCGUGCUCCGGCAGUGAUUCUUGACAUUUCACUACGACAGUAUUGUACUGCACUUCGGCACUGCUUUACUUGGGAUCCGCAUACUGAAUUGGCUUGUACGAGAAAGGCAUUUCUGUCAAAAAAUUGUUAACUUUUUA